rnacentral:rRNA from 1 species
CCUACGGGUGGCUGCAGUGGGGAAUAUUGGACAAUGGGCGAAAGUCUGAUCCAGCCAUGCCGCGUGUGUGAAGAAGGCCUUCGGGUUGUAAAGCACUUUCAGUGGGGAAGAAAGCCUUGGGGCUAAUACCCUCGAGGAAGGACAUCACCCACAGAAGAAGCACCGGCUAACUCCGUGCCAGCAGCCGCGGUAAUACGGAGGGUGCGAGCGUUAAUCGGAAUUACUGGGCGUAAAGCGCGCGUAGGCGGUCUGAUAAGCCGGUUGCGAAAGCCCCGGGCUCAACCUGGGAACGGCAUCCGGAACUGUCAGGCUAGAGUGCAGGAGAGGAAGGUAGAAUUCCCGGUGUAGCGGUGAAAUGCGUAGAGAUCGGGAGGAAUACCAGUGGCGAAGGCGGCCUUCUGGACUGACACUGACGCUGAGGUGCGAAAGCGUGGGUAGCAAACAGGAUUAGAUACCCGAGUAGUC